GAGAGAGAGAGAGAGCGCGAACGGGGGAGGGGCAGAGAGAGAGGGAGACACAGAAUCCCCAACAGGCUCCAGGCUCUGAGCUGUCAGCUCAAACCCACCCACUGUGAGAUCAUGACCUGAGCCGAAGUCAGAUGCUCAACCGGCAGAGCCACCAAGGCACCCCUAAGAGGUGUUCUUAAGUUCAUAUGAUUGACUUACUAAUCCUCCUCGGGUAUCUAGAAAUCUUACAUUCCUUUCUAGAAGGAGAAAAGAAAAGCCCUCGCAGGUCACAGAGUGGGAGUUAGACCUCUUGCCCAACUCUCAAGCACCGAAGGCUGUAAAUAGACACCACUAAAUCUGCACAGAAGUAGGAAAUAUUACAGACCACUGCAGCCCCUCAGUGAUGAACAGCCCCUGGUCCCUUUAAAACCCUCUUGGCUAGGCAGAAACCAGGGAACUGGCUUUUGGACAAGAGCCACCUUCUCCCCCAGAUGGCUGGCCUCCUGAAUAAAGCUCAUAUUCCUUUCCAGUCAAUACUCCUCUCUUGAGUGUUGGCCUUUGGAGGGACGGGCAGCUGAAGUUGGGAUCUGGUAACAAGAGGCGUACAGUGAUGAAAUCACUGCACAACCUUCCAGGGGCGCCUGAGGGGCUCAGUCGGUUGAGCAUCCGACUUCGGCUCACGUCACGAUCUCAUGGUUCGUGGGUUCGAGCCCCGUGUGCGACUCUGUGCUGACAGCUUGGAGCCUGGAGCCUGCUUCGGAUUCUCUGUCUCCUUCUCUCUCUGCCCAUCCCCAGUUCAUACUCUGUCUCUCUCUCUCUCAAAAAUAAACACUGAAAAAAAUUAA